rnacentral:rRNA from 1 species
UACGUAGGGUCCAAGCGUUGUCCGGAUUUAUUGGGCGUAAAGAGCGUGUAGGCGGCUUGUUAAGUCUUGCGUGAAAUCUCGGGGCUCAACCCCGAGCGGUCGUGAGAAACUGGCAGGCUAGAGUGCGGGAGAGGAGAGUGGAAUUCCUGGUGUAGCGGUGAAAUGCGCAGAUAUCAGGAAGAACACCCGUGGCGAAGGCGGCUCUCUGGAACGCAACUGACGCUGAGACGCGAAAGCGUGGGGAGCAAACAGG